ACUUGAGUUGUGCAGCGGUAACAUGCAGGUUUAGUAUGCCAGUGACCAGGGUUUGAGUCUCAGCUUAGGUU